AGUGUCCAUGAUAGUGAAUCCAUUUUGGUUGUGUUGGAUUUGAGGUGGCAAAGAAAUAAGGAACUGGCAUGUGACUGCGGGAAAUUGGAGCUACAAGACAGGAGUUCAGGUGAAAAGAUAGGACUAGAGUUGGAUGCUGAAACUUGCAGUCACACAAGGACUUGAACCUAGAGCUUUUCUAAAGCCCGUACUCUUUCCAGUACCCUGAGCCAGGGGAGCCAGCGGGCAGAAAUGACGUGUGAGGUACCCUCUCUCUCUUCACUUCCAUGUGAUCUGUUACUCAUUUUGUCAAGACAUCCUGGGUCCCAGAGACCACUCUUAUUCCCAGGUGUGUGACCUCCUCCUACAGACUACAGUGGGAAAGACACCAUCUCCAGGUGCCAGGUGCUACACAAGAUACUGGCUAUAGCAGCGAACAGGACAGCCCGUCUCAUCCUCAUGGAGGUCACAGGACAAUGAGAAGAAAGACUUUUUUAUUUUUAUUUUUUUGAGACGGAGUUUUGCUCUUGUUGCCGAGGCUGGAGUGCAGUGGUGUGAUCUCGACUCACUGCAACCUCCGCCUCCCAAGUUCAAGCAAUUAUCCUGCCUCAGGCCUCUUGAGUAGCUGGGAUUACAGGCACCUGCCACCACUCCUGGCUAAUUUUUUGUAUUUUUAGUAGAGACAGGGGUUUCAUCAUGUUGGCCAGGCUGGUCUCGAACUCCUGACCUCAGGUGAUCCACCCACCUCGGCCUCCCAAAGUGCAGGGAUUACAGGCAUGAGCCAUCGAACCCGGCCCAAGAAGAAAGACAUUGAACAAGUAAUUACAGGGUAUUGGGUGUUAUGAAAGAAAAGCAUGGUACUGUAUAAUGAGGUCAUCUAAUUUAGUCUGGGGUGACAAGGAAUGCCUACUAAAGAAGGUAUCGUUUAAGACAUACCUGGGGAAUAGCGGUAGUGAAAAUAGAAGCUCCAGAAAUGCAGGGACCAUGGCUGACAUGUUUACCAUGCCAGUGUCUGGCAUGGAAGAGGCCCAAUUCCUUUGGUUGAAAGGAUGAAGUAAUCUAGCUGAAUAAAGGGUGUGUGCGUGCACGCAGGUGUGUUUGUAGUUAACCUUCCUUUAGCUCAGCUUAGGAAACAGCUUUUGUAAAACUGCGUAACUAGUAGUAGGUGAGAGAGGAAUACGAAUGAUAUACACACCAUUAAAGACAACUUACUAACAGCAUGA
rnacentral:lncRNA from 10 species